rnacentral:rRNA from 1 species
AACUCAAAUGAAUUGACGGGGCCCGCACAAGCAGCGGAGCGUGUGGUUUAAUUCGAUGAUACGCGAAGAACCUCACCCAGGUUUUGACAUGCAUGUGGUACCAAGGUGAAAGCUGAGGGACCCUUCGGGGAGCAUGCACAGGUGUUGCACGGCCGUCGUCAGCUCGUGCCGUGAGGUGUUGGGUUAAGUCCCGCAACGAGCGCAACCCCUGUCGCCAGUUGUAUUUUUCUGGCGAGACUGCCGAGAAAACCUCGGAGGAAGGAGGGGACGAUGUCAGGUCAGCGUGGCCCUUACGCCUGGGGCUACACACACGCUACAAUGGGCAGUACAACGGGUCGCGAAGCCGCGAGGUGGAGCUAAUCCCAUCAAAGCUGUCCUCAGUUCGGAUUGCAGGCUGAAACCCGCCUGCAUGAAGCCGGAGUUGCUAGUAACCGCAGGUCAGCAUUACUGCGGUGAAUACGUUCCCGGGCCUU